UGAUCGAGAGUGUAGGUAAGUUAAUCCUAGUAGUAUUAGGUAGCACGUAAUAAUAUUGAAGGUCUGGGACAUGUACUAUUGGCAUCUAAUGAACUAUGCACUAUGUACUAUGUACUACGUGAUGACGAUAGAAUAUUUUAUAAGAAAACACUGUUCACCACAUCACAGUACUUCGUACGAUGUGACAGCCAAUGUGAGGAUCGAAUAUUGACAGUGCACUAUUACUGUGUGUAGUGCACUAUGUACUGUAGACUAAGAAAAAGUGAUGAAUAGAAAUAGUGCAAACCCAAUUGCUGAAAAUAACUAAAUGUAACUAUAUGAGAAAGGAAAAAUUUGGGGGAAAACGCGAAAACAUACCUGAGCAGAUGUUAGUGGAGAACCAAUGACCAUUUUUUGGAGAGGAUGGAGAGAUUGAUAGAAAUGGUAG
rnacentral:lncRNA from 1 species